rnacentral:rRNA from 1 species
UACGUAGGGACCGAGCGUUGUCCGGAUUCAUUGGGCGUAAAGAGCUCGUAGGCGGCUGUUCAAGUCGAACGUGAAAACUCGGAGCUCAACUCCGAGCCUGCGUUCGAUACUGGACGGCUAGAGUCUGGUAGGGGGAUCGUGGAAUUCCUGGUGUGAGACGGUGGGAAUGACUGCAGAUAUCAGGAGGAACACCGGUGGCGAAGGCGGGAUCCUGGGCCAGUACUGACGCUGAGGAGCGAAAGCGUGGGGAGCAACAGG